rnacentral:rRNA from 1 species
UACAGAGGUCUCAAGCGUUGUUCGGAAUUACUGGGCGUAAAGGGCUCGUAGGCGGCCAACUAAGUCAGACGUGAAAUCCCUCGGCUUAACCGGGGAACUGCGUCUGAUACUGGAUGGCUUGAAUCCGGGAGAGGGAUGCGGAAUUCCAGGUGUAGCGGUGAAAUGCGUAGAUAUCUGGAGGAACACCGGUGGCGAAGGCGACAUCCUGGACCGGUAUUGACGCUGAGUGAGCGAAAGCCAGGGGAGCAAACGGG